rnacentral:rRNA from 1 species
AUUGAACGCUGGCGGAAUGCUUUACACAUGCAAGUCGAACGGUAGAGGGGGCAACCCCUUGAGAGUGGCGAACGGGUGAGUAAUAUAUCGGAACGUGCCCAGUCGUGGGGAUAACGUAGCGAAAGUUACGCUAAUACCGCAUACGAUCUAAGGAUGAAAGCGGGGGAUCGCAAGACCUCGCGCGAUUGGAGCGGCCGAUAUCAGAUUAGGUAGUUGGUGAGGUAAAGGCUCACCAAGCCAACGAUCUGUAGCUGGUCUGAGAGGACGACCAGCCACACUGGAACUGAGACACGGUCCAGACUCCUACGGGAGGCAGCAGUGGGGAAUUUUGGACAAUGGACGCAAGUCUGAUCCAGCCAUUCCGCGUGCAGGAUGAAGGCCCUCGGGUUGUAAACUGCUUUUGUACGGAACGAAAAGGUUUCUAUUAAUACUAGGAGCUCAUGACGGUACCUAAGAAUAAGCACCGGCUAACUACGUGCCAGCAGCCG